rnacentral:rRNA from 1 species
AGUGAACGCUGGCGGUAGGCCUAACACAUGCAAGUCGAACGGCAGCACAGUAAGAGCUUGCUCUUACGGGUGGCGAGUGGCGGACGGGUGAGGCAUACAUCGGAAUCUACUUUUUCGUGGGGGAUAACGUAGGGAAACUUACGCUAAUACCGCAUACGACCUACGGGUGAAAUCAGGGGAUCUUCGGACCUUGCGCGAUUGAAUGAGCCGAUGCCGGAUUAGCUAGUUGGCGGGGUAAAGGCCCACCAAGGCGACGAUCCGUAGCUGGUCUGAGAGGAUGAUCAGCCACACUGGAACUGAGACACGGUCCAGACUCCUACGGGAGGCAGCAGUGGGGAAUCUUGGGCAAUGGGCGCAAGCCUGAUCCAGCAAUACCGCGUGAGUGAAGAAGGCCUUCGGGUUGUAAAGCCCUUUUGUUGGGAAAGAAAAGCAGCAGGUUAAUACCCCGCUGUUCUGACGGUACCCAAAGAAUAAGCACCGGCUAACUUCGUG